UACAGAGGUGGCAAGCGUUGUUCGGAAUUACUGGGCGUAAAGGGCUCGUAGGCGGCCAACUAAGUCGGACGUGAAAUCCCUCGGCUCAACCGGGGAACUGCGUCCGAUACUGGAUGGCUUGAGUUCGGGAGAGGGAUGCGGAAUUCCAGGUGUAGCGGUGAAAUGCGUAGAUAUCUGGAGGAACACCGGUGGCGAAGGCGGCAUCCUGGACCGACACUGACGCUGAGGAGCGAAAGCCAGGGGAGCAAACGGG
rnacentral:rRNA from 1 species